AGUGAACGCUGGCGGUAGGCCUAACACAUGCAAGUCGAACGGCAGCACAGGAGAGCUUGCUCUCUGGGUGGCGAGUGGCGGACGGGUGAGGAAUACAUCGGAAUCUACCUUUUCGUGGGGGAUAACGUAGGGAAACUUACGCUAAUACCCCAUACGACCUACGGGUGAAAGUGGGGGACCGCAAGGCCUCACGCGAUUAGAUGAGCCGAUGUCCGAUUAGCUAGUUGGCGGGGUAAUGGCCCACCAAGGCGACGAUCGGUAGCUGGUCUGAGAGGAUGAUCAGCCACACUGGAACUGAGACACGGUCCAGACUCCUACGGGAGGCAGCAGUGGGGAAUAUUGGACAAUGGGCGCAAGCCUGAUCCAGCCAUACCGCGUGGGUGAAGAAGGCCUUCGGGUUGUAAAGCCCUUUUGUUGGGAAAGAAAUCCUGUCGAUUAAUACUCGGUGGGGAUGACGGUACCCAAAGAAUAAGCACCGGUUAACUUCGUGCCAGCCGCCGCGGUAAUAC
rnacentral:rRNA from 1 species